CUUGGAGUCUGUCAUUUAAGACAUGUAACCACACUAAUAUUUGGAUUUAAAUACUUGAUUCCAAGAUUUUAUAUAGAUCUUGGAAUCUAUAUAGAUCUUUUAAAAAUCAUAUUAAAGUGGGGACUAGCCCACAAAUCCUAAAAGAUUCCAAUACACUAGAAGAUGCUAUGGGCAAAAACACAACAUCACUUUUCAAGUCCUAGUCAAUGAGAGGAGAAAGGCUUCUCUACGUGUUCCUUUUCUCAGCCUGAGAGAUAGUUCUUAGAUUUUUUACAUUCCUCCCAAGGGAAAUUCAGUAAUCUGAUUGGUUAGAGUCUAACAGCCAUUGAACCAAGCUCUUCCCUAGAAGUUACAUGUGUAAGCUCCUGAAGACAGACUUAACUUGCAGAUCCUAGCUUUGUCACUUAAUGUAGGAAAACGCCAUUUAAUAUAUUAAUUCAAUAAAUGUUGAGUCUCAGGCACUGUUGUAGUUCUUGAGAUACAUCAGUGAACAAAUCAAAGACCCCUAUCCUCAUGGAACUUGUAUUCUAACCAGGGAAAGAUUAAAAAUAAACAUAAAUAAAUAAAUUGUACUACAUGUUAGAAGAAAAAACAAUGUUCUCAAUAUAGAUUUACAGGCCAGAAUACAUGGCCCAGAUUCUGAUUUUCCAUACCCAUCAAGUGGGCAGCCAGGUCAACAAUACCAUAUUCAAAGAGUCACCAUAAAUGAGGAAAUGAUUAAAAGUCUACCUUUUUUUUCACCCCCAAGAGUAUAUAUGAGAUACUAAGAAUGAAGAAUUCACAGAAACAUGGCAUUUAUUUAGGAAGCAGAGUUCAGGUAAAUUAAGAAUUUUUAUUAUCACAUUUACACAUACUGGUUUUAUAUCAGAAACAGGUCAUAAAACACAUGAAAAGCAGGCAAAAAGAAGAAAAAAACCCCCAGCUAAUCUUACAUGUAGGAUUAUCACUAUAGGGAGAAAAGCUUAUUAUUUUGAUUAAAAGUGCUACAAAUUGGGAAAUAUUGGGAAAAUAUUACAAAAAAAUAAAAUGACAUACUGUAUUUUAAUAUAAAUUUUAGUGAACCACGUAUUUUUUUAAAUAUAAAGUUGUUUCUCUAUAAUCAGUAAGAUCAUUCUAUUGUCCUGAAUAUGGAAAUCUUGGAAUUUUAAACCUUCCUUUAAUAUACUGGACAAAUGGGAACUUUUGAGCCACCUAGGAAACACUUCUCCAGACAGAUUUUGUUUAACCUUCUAUAUAUAUAUAAUUAGAAUAUAUAUGUGUGUGUGUGUGUAUCUUCAAGUAUGUUAUCUUCCCUAUACUACAAAGUUAAUUUAAACCAAAUAUAAGUAAUGUUAAAAACCAAAACAAAAGGACCUGAAAAGUUAACUAGUAGUGUAUGAAUGAACUUAAUACCAGAAGCAGCAUUUAACACAAGCCACAGAGGGGUGUGGUGAAAAUGAGAUAAAUAAAAGCAUUAUUAAAAGAACAAGCAAGAUUUUAUGUUUUUAAUAAAAAAAUCUAAUACCAUAUAAAUCCAAAAUUGUUAAAAGAAAAAUGAAAAUCAGGAAAUAUAUUUGAAGAUAGCUAGAUUCCACUAAAGAGAUGACUAUGUGUUUUAAAGCAAAAAGCACCAAAUCUAUGAAAAUCAGUAAACAUCAAAGGUUUUUGGGCUCAGUAACUGUAAAAUACAAUCAAUCCACUGUAGCACCUCAAUGUUACAAUAUAAUUGUUUUUCAUAAACUGAGAGAACAGGAAACCAUGGGGAAGUACAGUUCAGAUUGUCCAGGAGCAAAUUUAAAAGUGUGUGGCAACCAAUCAGAUAGGUUUUUACCAAUGAGCUAGACUUAAGAGUUUUUUUAAAAAUUACUCUUCCAUUUAUACUCUACGCAGAAACACCGAAAUAAACAGUCAGGGGAGAUAAACCAGAAUUUUCUAGACAUUCAUAUAAGUUCCAGCCAUGAAAUCAGACAGAUUUACAUCUCAGAAAACUAAAGCAUAUUCAAUGUAAACUUACUUUUGAAAUAAACGUGAGUUUCUAGAG
rnacentral:lncRNA from 1 species